UAGUGGCGAACGGGUGAGUAACACGUGGGCAAUCUGCCCUGCACUCUGGGACAAGCCCUGGAAACGGGGUCUAAUACCGGAUACGACCAUCUCGGGCAUCCGAUGGUGGUGGAAAGCUCCGGCGGUGCAGGAUGAGCCCGCGGCCUAUCAGCUUGUUGGUGGGGUGAUGGCCUACCAAGGCGACGACGGGUAGCCGGCCUGAGAGGGCGACCGGCCACACUGGGACUGAGACACGGCCCAGACUCCUACGGGAGGCAGCAGUGGGGAAUAUUGCACAAUGGGCGGAAGCCUGAUGCAGCGACGCCGCGUGAGGGAUGACGGCCUUCGGGUUGUAAACCUCUUUCAGCAGGGAAGAAGCGCAAGUGACGGUACCUGCAGAAGAAGCACCGGCUAACUACGUGCCAGCAGCCGCGGUAAUACGUAGGGUGCGAGCGUUGUCCGGAAUUAUUGGGCGUAAAGAGCUCGUAGGCGGCUUGUCGCGUCGGAUGUGAAAGCCCGGGGCUUAACCCCGGGUCUGCAUUCGAUACGGGCAGGCUAGAGUUCGGUAGGGGAGAUCGGAAUUCCUGGUGUAGCGGUGAAAUGCGCAGAUAUCAGGAGGAACACCGGUGGCGAAGGCGGAUCUCUGGGCCGAUACUGACGCUGAGGAGCGAAAGCGUGGGGAGCGAACAGGAUUAGAUACCCUGGUAGUCCACGCCGUAAACGUUGGGAACUAGGUGUGGG
rnacentral:rRNA from 1 species